rnacentral:lncRNA from 1 species
CCAUAUGAGAUCAUCAUCAAAUCCUUCCCCAAUUUCCUAUCCAUUAUUCUUAUGUCUUAUGUUGCAAAACUUCUACCGAGAAAUUGUUUCCUCAUCAACUUAAGGUGCAUGAAUGUUCAAAUCCAGUUAUAUUAUGCAAAUAAAAUCUCGCCAAUCUUUUGCUUCUAGCCUGCCUCUUUUGUGGAAUACUCUCCAUGACAAGCAA